GAAGUUUUGAGGUGAAAAGUCUCACAAAACUUUCCAUCAUCAUAAGCAGAACUACACGAGCAUUAAUAUACAUUAACUCCAAUCAAAAUUAUAAAAAAAGAGAUGUCCAAUGGACUAUCACUAGCAUAAGGUAAUGUACAACAUAUACCAUUGAUCCAUCAUCAUAAGCAGAACUACGCAAACAUUAAUAUACAUUAACUCCAAUCAAAAUUAUCAAAAAUUGAGAUGUCCAAUGGACUAUCACCAGCAUUAGGUAAUGUACAACAUAUACCAUUGACCAAAAGAUCUAUUUACAUCAUAAAAUAAUCAAUUAGGACAUUCAGCCAGGUACUCAACAGUUAAGGCAUGCCUUCUUUUUAGCUUGUAUUUUCUGAGCAUGUCGUCGGCACUUGAUAAACAUUGAUUUAUGGUCAUAAAAAGGAGAUAAAAGAAUAAAGCUAACAAACUGUUGUGUACCCAAAAGAAUAUCUAACAGCUAAUUUUCACAAGAUCAAUUUCAAGCUCACAUGAGGUCCAAACAUAACCAUAAUGGAGCCAAUAAAAGCAAGAGAACUGAAUUCUGAAUUUCAACUUAAUUCUACUUAUCAACUUUUCUACUGGAAGCAGUUUUUAAAACUUUCUUUCCACAUAUGAACUGAACAUUUAAGUAGGUUAUAAGUUUAACCAAAUCUCUAUUUAACUGCUCACCUAAAAUGGUCAUCAUAGUAGGACCAUCUUUUCAUGACUCAAGUCCCAUACUUAUGAAGCACAUAUGUGAAAACAACAUAAAAGAAAAGAUAAAUGGUCAGUUCUUCGGGGGAUUAAGUCCUUUGACUACGUUAUCUAUGGUUACCUCUCCUUUUUUAGAAGGUAAUGAUUGUAUUAAGAUAAACUAAGAAAGUGCUAACAAAGUGUACAUCCGUAGCCAAACCACGAUUCAGACUGCAUCUCUAACCUAUUCCCAUAGGGCAUCUAUAAGAUCUAACCUUGAAAUUAACAAGAAACAAAAUAUUACUGUUCCGUAUUUUCAAGUAAUCUACCUUAAUAUGUCAAUACUGACCCAAAGGAAUAAGACUCAAUGAUUAGUUAUUUUAGUAAUAAUGGUCUAUGGGCCACUUUGCGUGCAUUUCAACUAAUUUAUUGGGUACCUGCUACCUCUUAGCAACAUAGGUAUGGGGUAACUCUACACCAAGGUUUAUAUAAAUAGUAGGACAUCACCUAGCAUUCAUUGCCUUUGCUGGAGUUUGAACCAAGCUUUGUCAUAGUUCAUUCUAUAUUCAUUGACCGCUAGGUCACACCCUUAAGUACGACUUGAUGCUAGUCAUAGGAAUAACAGCUAGCAUAACAACAACAACAACCCGGUAUAAUCCCACGUAGUGGGGUCUGGGGAGGGUAGUAUGUACACAGACCUUACUCUACCCUUGGGUAGAGAGGCUGUUUCCAAAUAGACCCUCGGCAUCCUUCCUUCCAAGAACUUC
rnacentral:lncRNA from 1 species